CUUGGUCAUUUAGAGGAAGUAAAAGUCGUAACAAGGUCUCCGUUGGUGAACCAGCGGAGGGAUCAUUACUGAGUACUACACUCUCUACCCUUUGUGAACUAUUAUACCUGUUGCUUCGG
rnacentral:rRNA from 1 species